GCCAGCAUGGUGUAGUGGUUUGAGCAAUGGACUAUGACUCUGGAGACCAAGGUUCGAAUCCUUGCUUAGCCA
rnacentral:tRNA from 1 species